rnacentral:tmRNA from 1 species
UGGGGUAAUUUCAUUCGGCUGGGGUCGCCUUGGGUAACUUAGGGCGAUUCGAGAAAAUAGGUUGCUGGCGAUUUGCAUAGCGUGCCACUGCGCGAUGUGAAAAGCGAGAUUUAAAUCAGACGGCUACACAUGUAGAACUGUUCGAAGAAGGUUUGCGGACGCGGGUUCAAAUCCCGCCAGCUCCACCA